AACGAACGCUGGCGGCAUGCCUAACACAUGCAAGUCGAACGAUGCCUUCGGGCAUAGUGGCGCAUGGGUGCGUAACACGUGGGAAUCUGCCCUUCGGUUCGGAAUAACACAGAGAAAUUUGUGCUAAUACCGGAUAAUGACGUAAGUCCAAAGAUUUAUCGCCGAAGGAUGAGCCCGCGUAGGAUUAGCUUGUUGGUGGGGUAAUGGCCCACCAAGGCGACGAUCCUUAGCUGGUCUGAGAGGAUGAUCAGCCACACUGGGACUGAGACACGGCCCAGACUCCUACGGGAGGCAGCAGUGGGGAAUAUUGGACAAUGGGCGAAAGCCUGAUCCAGCAAUGCCGCGUGAGUGAUGAAGGCCUUAGGGUUGUAAAGCUCUUUUACCAGGGAUGAUAAUGACAGUACCUGGAGAAUAAGCUCCGGCCAACUCCGUGCCAGCCGCCGCUGUAA
rnacentral:rRNA from 1 species